UUUCAAAUGUGGGGUCAUGAAGAGACAACAUUGGUACAGUUGGUGCUAUGAUCCUUCCUUAAUCAUUCCUUACUACAACCUUUUCCCUCUCUACUUUAAGUCCAUGGACCUGCAAAGUUCUAAUGCAAUUCGACAGGCUUUCCCUCAAUGAAAAAAUACAUUUUUGAUGUUGUGGACUGUGUGUCACCAUGCUGAGGGCCGACUGACAAUUGAGUGUCUCCACGGGCCUCAUUAGAUCCCCUGUGUGUGUGUGUGUGUGUGUGUGUGUGUGCGUGCGUGUGCGUGGAACUGUAUUCAAUAAAAAGGCAACCUAUAGUUGACUGCAUCACCGAGAAUUGUAUAGAGGGUCACGGUUUGCUUGUUUGCAUAAAUACAUUUGCACUUGCAGUGUGCAUAGGUGACUACUUGCCCCCAGGCCAACAUAUCUUUGUUUUCAUCGGCUACGGUAUGUCAUGAACGUGAUAGAAUGCUUUCUGUUUAAUGGCCGCACAAAAUGUUAUAUUUUUUUGCCCCUGAAAAUGUUUCCUGCAGCCACUUUGUAUUUUAAUGCACUAAAAUUAUGUCCACGUCAAGGGAGUCAAAAGAGAGAUUUACAAAAGAAAUCACAGGUCAGGACAGGCAUGCCCCAGCAGGUGCAACUGCAAUUAUUCAGAGCCUAUGAAUGAUUAAUGAUGUAAAUCAAAUAUCAAAACAAGUUGACACAGAAAAAUGAUUAAAGCAUGCGGUUGAAUAGGGAUACGGCAACACAUUCAGUUGUGUGCUAUGUCUCAGCCACUGUAGACAUGCAGGCAGACCCCUGUUGUUCACAGUACAAUGUUGCAGCACAGUGAGACAUAGCACACUUGUGACGAAUACACAAAUCUUAGUUGAGAUGUUUUAUUCCAAGAGAAAGUGGAAAGGAGAGAGGAAAACUAGGGCCCUCUACACAUACAUCACCACCAAACAAAAAACAAACGGGUUAAAAACAUCAUUUUAAAUGUUCAUUUACAACAUGACAAGAGCAUUGUGUUGCCUGAAAACGCAAUCAUUCGAAAACAGGUUGGGUGAACAUUUUUCGACACGCUUCACCUAAAAUCAGAAAAUGGUUUGUGAAAAUGGUGACAUGUUCAGUCUGAGUAUGUGCAAAUAUUUCACAACAAAAACAACAACGGUGGACCGCAGUGCUGUUGUCGCUAGCUUCUCCAGCUAUGCCCAACUAUACGCCGAUAAUGGUUAUUCAAAAGACGCUUUUGGGUCAAACCCAGAAGAACACGUAGUUGGUGCGCAUGUGUCAUGUUUCUUUACAAAGCGCUUUCGCCAACUACAGGCCUGGCAUGCGUAUUACAACGUUUUUACACUGUCAUCAGUACGGGAAACCUUUUUAAAAUGCAUAGAAAAAAAAUAUCAAGUUUUCGUUUAAUGCUGUUGUCCAAACAGACCAAGAAUGGCACUUAAUAAGUCACAGACCUCUGCCAAGGGUGAUACAUUAACAAAGCUGAGCCAAAAAUAACAUGGAGCAAUGUAAUAGUGUUUGUUAGUCCAUUCAUUUCGUAAUUAGCAGGUUACUUUCUGAGGCAUGAAGGUUGACGUUAGACAUUGCAUUAGUCAGAUAUAGAGUAAGUAAGUACUGUUUGUAUUCUUUGGCAAGGGGAAUGCUUGAACUAAUAAAAUGAAGUGGAAGAAAUUGUGGAGCAGCACAUAUUUUGUCUGUUGUUUGUUACAUAGCAAAUGUUGUGACUCAGAGAGAAAUUCCUCUAGCCCCAAUUUGGUCCAGAAUUUAAUGGGUUCUUCCAGUUUGAUCUGGAUUUGUCUCAAAAUGGAACGGGUUCUUGCUUCGUCUGUGCAUCGCCUCUUUAAAAGGGUUUGUGGAAAUUGGUUAUGUAGUUUAGAUGACAUAAUCUUUCUAUUAACUAACCAAACAACAAUUGAUGAUUUAAAAAAAUAACUGUUGUCUUCAACUUUCAGACUUAAGGUAAUUAAAAGCAAAUAUUGGUGAUAUAGCACUUUGAAGCAUUAGUCAAACCAACGGCACUGAGGAUUCCUAUAAGAAAAUCACAAAAUUUAAAAGGUUGUGUUUAAUGUAAUUAAUGUUUUAGCUUCAGUAAAUGGGGGGUCUUUGCCGCCUUUAUAUUUACCCAAUCAUCCUCUUCUUCCAUCUGAAACUGUCUUGUUAGAGCAGGAUUGAUUUUAACGGAGAGAUGAUGAGUGGUCAGCAGAGAUUUGAACAGGCGCAAUCUUCGCCCGAGGGCAGAUCGACCGGUGGCCAGAAAACGUAUUCACAGGAUGUUGUCCCUACAUCUGCCUCCCUUUGAAGUUGCUCACUCUGCUCUGGCAUGUCAUACAUGACCGCUUCAUUCUCCUCCAACACUUUUAACGAGUGUGAAAAGGCCGCAAAUACUGAUCUGUGUUCCACAAGGUAUUUGUGCUGCUGUGUGUAUGCGUGCGUGUGCGUGUGCGUCUGCGCUGCCAUGUUGGAGAGAGAAAGCAGCAGAGCGAAGAGAGAAAAAGAGGGGAGCGACUCGAGAUGAUGCGAGCCAAUCUGCACUUCCUCUGAGAAUUCAAGCCUUACCAGAGGAGUUUUCUUCUGAUCUGCUGCCGUACAUCCAACAUGUCCUGCCAGGUCGAAGCCGGAGCAUCCUGUGACCCCUGACCUCUUGGACAAUAGAGGCCAGGACGUUUCCCAGUGAGCAGCGAUGGAGCCAACAACAGGAACAUGAGGGGUGCUCAUGGGAAACAAACUGUUUAUUGUGCAGCAGGAUGGGCAGCCGACCCCCCCACCCCCAAUGUCCCAGUCACUUACUUACACGUUCACACACAUUCAUGCAACACACGCUCUCAUGCACACCAGCAUAUACGCUUCUGCAUUGUAACAUCUUGUGAAGGUCUUUAUGAUGACUAAAUAACUCAUAUACAAAUCUCCCAUGGCCUCAGAAAAAAAGAGACUGUGCUCUUUUGUAUUUGUCUCUUCAAAUAAAAAAAUUACUCCAAAUUUUAGGAGAUUCAAAAAAUAUACCUCUAAAACAUAUUUUGUGUGCAUUUAUUUAAAAAAUUAAAACCUAAAACGUAUCAAAGCUGGGAGGGUACAGUACAGCCUCUGAGGAUGAAAACUAUCAGUUGCAGGACGCUGGACGAUACAUACUGUACAUUCUUCUUUUCGUCUCACAUUCAGCUUCUCUUGAUAUACCACAAUAAAAAGCCACAAUAAUGCCAAAGAAAAAGCAAAACACACUCCUAGGUCUUGUGUGGUACACUGAGGCCUGCCAUGAAAUACUGGCACCUCAAA